UAGAAAAACGGGACUUGAACCCGCACCUAAAGACCCAAAACCUUUAGCACUUCCUUAUGCUACUUCCU
rnacentral:tRNA from 1 species